CUUAGAGAGCUUGCUUUUUAAAGCUUAGUGGCGAACGGGUGAGUAACGCGUGAGUAACCUGCCCUAUAGUGGGGGACAACAGUUGGAAACGACUGCUAAUACCGCAUAAGCCCACGGUACCGCAUGGUACUGAGGGAAAAGGAUUUAUUCGCUUUAGGAUGGACUCGCGUCCAACUAGCUAGUUGGUGAGGUAACGGCCCACCAAGGCGACGAUUGGUAGCCGGACUGAGAGGUUGAACGGCCACAUUGGGACUGAGACACGGCCCAGACUCCUACGGGAGGCAGCAGUGGGGGAUAUUGCACAAUGGGGGAAACCCUGAUGCAGCGACGCCGCGUGGAGGAAGAAGGUUUUCGGAUUGUAAACUCCUGUCGUUAGGGACGAUAAUGACGGUACCUAACAAGAAAGCACCGGCUAACUACGUGCCAGCAGCCGCGGUAAAACGUAGGGUGCAAGCGUUGUCCGGAAUUACUGGGUGUAAAGGGAGCGCAGGCGGGAAGACAAGUUGGAAGUGAAAACCAUGGGCUCAACCCAUGAAUUGCUUUCAAAACUGUUUUUCUUGAGUAGUGC
rnacentral:rRNA from 1 species